AUGAUCAACAAGAUAGAUGUCAAGGUGAGGGUCAUUUCCGACGUGGUGACCAUCGAGUCAUGGCGAACACAGGCAACGUUGGCAACGUGGCGAACAGAGAUAGGGGGAGGCCGCCACCGUAGGCUGCACUCUGCCACACCGGAGUAUGAGUUGGAUGCUUUUGAGUUCUUCAAUGUCAUACUUGAGAAUUCAUCCAGGAGGCAGGUAUGUAAAAGGAGAGAUCUCCCCUUCACCCAUCUCUUUAUGAUAACUCUGUUGUUUGCUCCAUCACUCCUUGUACCACCCUACAGAGGCUGCCUGACACUUUCAUGA
rnacentral:rRNA from 1 species